UAAUUGUCCUUACUUAAGUCCUAAAUUAAAUCCUAAUUAAAUCCUAAACAAUCCUAAAAUCUAAAAAAAUCCUAAAUCCUAACCAAUUCCUAAAUUCUAAAUCAAAUCCUAAUCAAAUUAACCUAUCCCUAAGAUAGUUUAGAACCUCAAUAUCUAUCAAUUAUACCAUUGAUCUUACUUAAGAUUUUACACACCUUUUAACAACUAAGUUGGCAAUAAGUACACAAAAUUUGAAGAAGAUCAAACUUACCAAAUAAAAGAUCAAUCCUAAAUUUUGCUUAAGUAUUGAUAGGCCUUCUACUUCAAUCUAAAUAUUAAACUUUUAGUGCGAAUAUUUCCUUUUUGAACCAUUGAAUUGCCUCCAAAAUAUACUUAAAGUAUGGAAAAUCAAGUCUAAUCUCUACAUACAAAAUAUUCACUUCAAUCCAAUCAACAAAUUAUUAAAGAUCAUAAAAAUACUCAUUGCCCCUCAAAUUCCAAUUUUUGAGACCUCAACCUAUAAAAACCUUCAAACACUUUGAUCUAAUCAUUUUAUUGACUUCAAAAUUUUUACAUAUAUUAAAAAACUAAAACAUCAAUAUAUUUUCUAAAAUGUACUAGUACACAUACCACAAAACUGAAGAAACUCUCAAUUUUAUAAAUAUAAUUUUAUUUUUCAUAAUCUAAUCCAACAAAAAAUAUUACUUAUUUUUAAAAUCUCCUAAAAAUUGAAUAUUAACUUGAUUGAUAUGAAACUAAUGCUUAAAAAUCUCUUUGCAAGUCUACUCUCAAAUCUCUUUUUCUAAUCUC
rnacentral:lncRNA from 1 species